UGGGAAUUUUGGACAAUUGGGCGAAAGCCUGAUCCAGCAAUGCCGCGUGUGUGAAGAAGGCCUUCGGGUUGUAAAGCACUUUUGUCCGGAAAGAAAUCCUUGGCUCUAAUACAGUCGGGGGAUGACGGUACCGGAAGAAUAAGCACCGGCUAACUACGUGCCAGCAGCCGCGGUAAUACGUAGGGUGCAAGCGUUAAUCGGAAUUACUGGGCGUAAAGCGUGCGCAGGCGGUUUGCUAAGACCGAUGUGAAAUCCCCGGGCUCAACCUGGGAACUGCAUUGGUGACUGGCAGGCUAGAGUAUGGCAGAGGGGGGUAGAAUUCCACGUGUAGCAGUGAAAUGCGUAGAGAUGUGGAGGAAUACCGAUGGCGAAGGCAGCCCCCUGGGCCAAGUACUGACGCUCAUGCACGAAAA
rnacentral:rRNA from 1 species